ACCAGAUAAGUGCCCUGGAUCUCCGAACCAAGCAAUCUGCGUGCCAGGGGGCGUGUCGACGUGCCAGGGGGCGUGUCGACGUGCUAGGGGGGCGUCGAUAGUCCAAGGAACAUAGGCGUGAAGGGGUUAAUGCCAGAAUUGGGGGGUGGGGCGAACGGGGACGAAGAGGAUUGUGGGAUAUCCGUUGUACGUCGCCCCAUGGGCGCCUGGGAUAUAUCCAGUGCGCGUGUCUAUUAUUACCGACCCUAAAUGGGGGCCAGAGGCGGGUUCGGGUCUAGCCAGUGCCGCCGCAGCUGCUCUCCGAGGCCGCAAGACAGGAGCCAUCGGCCGCGGCCCGCGGCGGAGAGAGAGGAUGAGGCGGAGAAAUUGAAGCUGUGAUUUCUUUCCCUUUGUUCUGCUCGUCUUGGAGCACUGCCAUUCCUACUCAAGGCUGCUUGGGAACCAUCUGGCACUCUAGCCGCUCGGUCUUUACCAAGCAGAGGAGAGAAACGAUACUGAGUUUCCAGUUCUUCAAACGUUGGGCUUCUAACUCCCACAUUACUGAUCUAUUUCUCUUGCUCUGCCCUGGAUGGAAUUACAAGGUUUUUGGGCUUCUUAAGUCCUAUCUGUGAACCCACAUGCAAAAUAAUGUAACUGACUUCCAUGGGGUUGUUGCGAGGAAAUGAUGUGAGAGAAUUCAAGUGAAGCUCCAAGGAGGCUGCCUGGCACAGAGGAGGGGCAUGAUAAGCAGUGGCUGUAUCAGUAUCACUAUAUGAAUGUAUGGAGGUAAAACUGUAAUUUCUUCCUUUCACUGAGAGAAACUGGUGAUAGAAAUCAGGGAUCUAGUCCAAAGACCUGCCAGCACAAGGCAGGUAGCAGGAUCUUGCUGAAGGUUCGGGAGAGUGGAGGAAGUUCAUCCCCACACAGCAGACAACGUGAAAGAGAACCUCAGAGCCAAGUGCCUGCUAUGACCCAGCUUUUAUAGAAAAAGAACUGGAACAUAUAUGUUUGUGUAAAAGCAGAUCUGGAAGAACAUAUACCAGUCUGGACUGUGGGGAGAUGGGGUAACUUUCACUUUUGCUUUUACUUUGUUCCUUUCUGUGUUUGAAAACUGUUUCAUUUUAAUUGAGCAUAUACUACACUAAACAAUGUUAAAAUGAUUUUUAAAAGGCCAAUCAAUAAAAAAAUAACCAAUCAGUAAAUUACACUAAAAAAUCUCAAGGCAGUUUCACUCAAACUUCUCUUCCAUUCAGCCUCCUGCCUGGCCCUUAGGCUCCCUCAUCUCCUUAGCUUAGCAGCUCCCAUCCUCCAGAGUUCCUUCUGCAGUUAUCCUUGUACAGAGAAGUUUUGCUGCUAUCUUCCUGUAGACCCAGGCCAUCUCAUCCAAGUCCAGAGAGCCUCACUCACCUCCCUAAGCACACAAGCAUAAAGCAUUCUCGCAGGUGUGUUCCUAAGCAAAGACAGUUCCUGUUCUGAGAAGAAUUAUUUGAUUAGCUCUGAAAGGAUUUUUAUUCUCUCCGCCUUUGCAUGGGUAAAGUAACCUAAGGCUAUGGAGUUUAAUGGAAUUCCCUGUGAAGAGGCUGAGGGAGGGCUUAGGUAAUCCACCUACAAACCUGUUUGGAAAAUUUGGAAAGAAGCAUUUGAUGCAGUUAUGACGGCAUUCUGUGGCAUGGCAGUUAAAAUGCACCAGGCCCUCUUAGAAAAUUCCCAGAUGUGCACACAUUUCAUUCUCACCACAACCCUAUGAGGGACUUCCUGUUAUGACUCCAGUUUACCAAGGAGGAAGCUGAAGCACAGUGAAGUUCACUACCAUGCAUAAGUUGUAAGGGAAGGAGCCAGGGUUUCAAGAAUGCCCAAAUCAUGUCCCUCCUCUCUUUAUCCAACUGCCCAACCCCUCCGUAGGCAACCUGCUUGGCUGCUUUUAUACAAAAUGCAGUAUUGGAAUCAGGAGAUCACUGCUUUAAGAGCUCAGUCAGUGCUAACUCCCAAAAGCCAGAGUGAAGAACCUGGUUUAUUUGGUACAGUGUAGCAAAAUGUCCAGCUUGAAACUAAAUUUCUGAUUACCUUCUUCAUCCAUAUGUUAUUAAGGGUAGUUAUGUCCUUAUAAAAGGAAGAUUUAGGGUAGCUAAACAAAGAAGGGGGUGAUGUAGUCUCAUUCCACAAAAUGCAAGUGAGAUCAACCUUUUUUCAGUGGAGUACUUCAAGACGUGGUAUUUAGCAAGUGUCAAGGUAUAGUGAUUGGGACUGUAGAGCUAGAAGUUUACAGAAGCCUGUGACCAUCUUGAGGCUAAAUUCUGCCCUUGGUCUUCAGCCAGUGAAGUGCCUGCAUCUGCUGGAAGUGGAUAAGAAAACAUGUAGAACUGAAUGAUGAUGAAAAAUCUGAUUUUCAGCCAAGCUUGUGGAAUACACCACAAACAGUACUAGAAAGCAAAUUUAAAGGCAAAGUGUGUAUAUUUAAAGUGAAAGACUGGAAAUAAGUGCAGCGAAUGUCCAAUAUAAUUUAGGUAAGGUAGAAGGGAGGAUCCAAUAAAGAUAAGAGUAGAAAUCAUUGAAGUAGAAAACAAAUAGAAAAGUCAGAGAAACCAAAAGUAAAUUUGUCCAAAAGACUAGUAAAUGAACCUCUGGAAAAACUGACUCAGAAUAAAGAGAAAUGCACAAACAAGAAUAAAAAGAAUGUAUUCUAAAUGCCACUGAAUUAUACACUUGAAGUGGUAAAUUUUAUGUUCUAUGAAUUCUUCCCCAAUAAAAAAAUAUUUGGAAUGGAAAAGGGGAGAGUAACUAUGGAUAGGAUACAGAUGAAUCAUAUCAUUUGAUAUGAUGUUUAGUAAUUGCUUUAAAAUAUGCCAUUAAAAAUUAUAGGGAAUUACAGAUGAAGAUAUGCAAAUAUUAAUUCUUGAAGCUGGCUGAUGGGAACACGAGGGUUCACUAUACCAUUCUCUAUCCCUUUGUAUGUGUUUGAAAAGUUCCAUUAAAAAAGUUAAAAUGCAACUCCCUAAAUCAUUUGAAAAUGUGGGUAAUUUGGUGAUUUCUUAGAGUUGAAUAAAUAUGGCAUAUUAAAGUCUAUAGUAGCUCUAAUUUAAAAGAGCAUUACAGGCACGUGAAGAAAUGAGGAAGGACCCUGAAUGUGAGCCAGUGCUACCAAAGUAGGUCAUAGAAUGGGCCACCUAUCCCCCCUGCUCCUGUGGAACAUAGUCCUUCAUUCAGCAGCUCUGCUUCUAGGAAUUUCUCCUCUGGAAGUAUUGGUCACAUGUGCAAACCACAAGCAUGUAGACCCCAGACUGGUUGGAACCAGAAGUUUAAUGAUUAAACUCCCCUAAACAUCAUGCUGUUACCUCACCACCAACCAGUCAAAAGAAAGUCCGUGAGCUGCAGCCCUCACCUGAAAUGUCUUUAAACCCUGAAAGCCACUGGGGAGUUUGGGUCUUUUGAGCGUGAGCUGCCCAGUCUCCUUGCCUGGUGCCCUGCAAUAAACACUGUACUUUCCUUCACGACAGCCCAGUGUCAGGAGAUUGACUUUUCUGUGCAGAGGGCAAGCAGACUCGAGUUCCAUUUGGUAUCAGUAGUUCUAUUUAUAUAACGUUUGAAAACAGAACAACAGUGUUGGGGAUUCAUAUUUGAGUGGCAACGCUCUAAAGAAAAGCAAGAAAGUAAUAGCUAUAACUAUCAUGAGAGUGGUUUCCUUUAGGGAAGAGGAGAGAGGCUGUGAUUGCACAGGGGCUCACAGGGAUUUCAGGAGUUCUGGCCUUGCUCUCUUUCUUGAUCUUUGUAGUAGUUUGCUUUUAUAACAAUUUUUUUCUCUUUCUUCUCUUUUUAAAAAUUUUUUCUUUUUAAAAAUAUUUCUAGAUUAAAAAAUUUUUUAAUUGAAGUAUAGUCAAUUACAAUAUGCCCAUUUCUGGUGUACAGCAUAAUGUCUCAUAUGUAGAGUCAUGCAUAUAUAUAUAUAUAUAUAUAUACACAUAUAUACAUACAUUCAUUUUCAUAUUCUAUUUUAUUAAAGGUAAUUACAAGGUAUUGAAUCUAGUUCCCUGUGCUACACAGAAGAAACUUGUUUUUUUAAUCUAUUUUUAUAUAUAGUGGUUAACCUUUAUAAUAAUUUGUUAGGCUGUAUACUUAUAUUUUAUGCAUUUUCUGUUAUUUCGCCCUCAGUAAGAAUGUUUUAGAACCUGAAGAUAAUAUUAGGAUUAUCUCAGGUUUAACUGUGAUAAUGAAAUGAAACCAUGUUGAGCUCUUAGAAUAUGCCUGGUACUUUGAAAGACCUUAAUAAAUGUUAGCUAUCUACAAUAAAAGUUUGCUGUUAUGUUUUUCAUAUUUGUUGCCUAUAUUUCUCAGCUUGUUGUUUGUCUUUUAUUUCUGUUAAUGCUGUCUUUUGAGUUAUUGGUCUUGAAGGAGGAUUAAUAAAAUGGCCUCCCUUCGGCUAAUGGAUUGCUUAUUAUGUUUGCCCUUAAAACAGUCAGCUGACCUGACUGACCAGUUGCUACUCACAGUUCCAGGCCCAUUGUUAAAACUAAAGCUAUUGAUCUUACUGUUUAUACUUUA